rnacentral:rRNA from 1 species
CUACGGAGGGUGCAAGCGUUACUCGGAAUCACUGGGCGUAAAGCGCGCGCAGGCGGCUAUUUAAGUUGUAUGUGAAAGCCUACGGCUCAACCGUAGAACUGCAUCCAAAACUAUUUAGCUAGAGUGUGGGAGAGGAAGAUGGAAUUAGUUGUGUAGGGGUAAAAUCCGUAGAGAUAACUAGGAAUACCAAAAGCGAAGGCAAUCUUCUGGAACACUACUGACGCUGAGGCGCGAAAGCGUGGGGAGCAAACGGGAUUAGAAACCCUAGUAGUCC